rnacentral:rRNA from 1 species
UACGUAGGGAGCGAGCGUUGUCCGGAAUUACUGGGCGUAAAGGGUGCGUAGGCGGUAAGCUAAGUCAGGUGUGAAAUCCCCGGGCUCAACUCGGGGGGUGCAUUUGAAACUGGUUUACUUGAGUGCAGGAGAGGAAAGCGGAAUUCCUAGUGUAGCGGUGAAAUGCGUAGAUAUUAGGAAGAACACCAGUGGCGAAGGCGGCUUUCUGGACUGUAACUGACGCUGAGGCACGAAAGCGUGGGGAGCAAACAGGAUUAGAUACCCUGGUAGUCCACGCUGUAAACGAUGGAUACUAGGUGUGGGGGAGAUACAACCUCUGUGCCGGAGCAAACGCAAUAAGUAUCCCGCCUGGGGAGUACGGCCGCAAGGCUGAA